UCCUGCUGCCGCCGCCUCUCGGGUUCCGCUGUGAGGGCAGCAGGGCGCAGCUGCGCGACGCGGGCGAGGCGAGGCCGGGCCGCGAACAUGUCCUCGGCCGUGGGGCCCCGCGGGCCUCGCCCGCCCACGGUGCCGCCCCCGAUGCACGAGCUGCCCGACCUGAGCCACCUGACCGAGGAGGAGAGGAACAUCAUCAUGGCAGUGAUGGACCGGCAGAAGGAAGAGGAGGAGAAGGAAGAAGCCAUGCUCAAUGCAUUGUGCUGUCUAUCAUGCGCCCCAGGUGUGUUGUCAGGGACAUGGCGAAGCCCGCUGCCUGCAAAACACCAAGAAAUGCUGAAAACCAACCCCACCAGCCUCCACCGACUUUCCUAUGUUGCCCGGGCUGUUGCUGAACUACUGGGCUGAAGAUAUCCUUCUGCCUCAGUCUCCAAGUACUUGGGACUAUAGGCAUAUGCACAUUUUAGAUCACGUCUUUUCCUUCCUUUUUUUUUUCUUUCUUUUCUAUUUAUUUUUUUAAACUUUCCAUAUACUUAUUGUUGUGGAACUCUGUCAUAACUUAAAUUUAACCUAGUAAAACUUUGAUGGUACCCUUCUGAAUUUAGUGUGCAAGAAGGAGCAACUGUUAGCUCUUUGAAUCCUACUUUUUGCCAGUCUCUUUGCUCUGUACUUCUCUGAUUAAAAUACUGAACUGCUGGGUGACAUUUAUUCCUCGUUUCUAUUCUCUGUAGAGAGUGGUGUUUGGGAAUUGAGCUCUCCACAUUCAUGUAAAUACCUUGGGAGCUGAGUAAGAAGUAAGUGCUUGGUGGUCAACUGAAUAUGGUUUGUAAGAAAGAAUUCAGGGGAGCUACCAUAUUAGUGGUUUAGGUAUAAAGAACUAACAAGAAUUAAAGAUGUGAACCAAAUCUAGGGAUGGACAAUGGUGAGUUCACAUGCUAUAGUGGUUUC
rnacentral:lncRNA from 1 species